CUAAACCUCCAUAUGACCCCCAAACCUCCAUAUGACCCCUAACCUCCAUAUGACCCCUAACCCCCAUAUGACCGCUAACCUCCAUAUGACCCCUAACCUCCAUAUGACCCCUAACCUCCAUAUGACCCCUAACCUCCAUAUGACCCCUAACCUCCAUAUGACCCUGUUAUCAAUGUUAGUAGUGAUGAUUAAUCUAAAGCUGACCAGGUUUCAAGAGAAAAACUUCUGCCAACAAACUCUGGGCUUUGGCUGAGUUCAGUUCUGUUCAGUCCAGUGUGGCUUCAGUACAGCUGCCCUGUGUAGGGGGGAGGGGGACAGAGGUGUCUAGUCCCUAUGGUGGAGGGAGGAUGGAGGGCAGAGGGGACAGAGGUGUGUCUAGUCCCUACGGUGGAGGGAGGAUGGAGGGCAGAGGGGACAGAGGUGUGUCUAGUCCCUACGGUGGAGGGAGGAUGGAGGGCAGAGGGGACAGAGGUGUGUCUAGUCCCUGGAGGGGAGGAUGGAGGGCAGAGGGGACAGAGGUGUGUCUAGUCCCUACAGUGGAGGGAGGGGGAUGGAGGGCAGAGGGAACAGAGGUGUGUCUAGUCCCUACGGUGGAGGGAGGAUGGAGGGCAGAGGGGACAGAGGUGUGUCUAGUCCCUACAGUGGAGGGAGGAUGGAGGGCAGAGGGGACAGAGGUGUGUCUAGUCCCUACGGUGGAGGGAGGAUGGAGGGCAGAGGGGACAGAGGUGUGUCUAGUCCCUACAGUGGAGGGAGGAUGGAGGGCAGAGGGGACAGAGGUGUGUCUAGUCCCUACGGUGGAGGGAGGAUGGAGGGCAGAGGGGACAGAGGUGUGUCUAGUCCCUACAGUGGAGGGAGGAUGGAGGGCAGAGGGGACAGAGGGGUGUCUAGUCCCUACGGUGGAGGGAGGAUGGAGGGCAGAGGGAACAGAGGUGUGUCUAGUCCCUACGGUGGAGGGAGGAUGGAGGGCAGAGGGAACAGAGGUGUGUCUAGUCCCUACAGUGGAGGGAGGAUGGGAUGGAGGGCAGAGAGAACAGAGGUGUGUCUAGUCCCUACAGUGGAGGGAGGAUGGAGGGCAGAGGGAACAGAGGUGUGUCUAGUCCCUACGGUGGAGGGAGGAUGGGAUGGAGGGCAGAGGGGACAGAGGUGUGUCUAGUCCCUACGGUGGAGGGAGGAUGGAGGGCAGAGGGAACAGAGGAGUGUCUAGUCCCUACAGUGGAAGGAGGAUGGGAUGGAGGGCAGAAGCCGGGAAGUGGUUCCUCCCCGUCAGGCUUUCCCUUCCCAGGCGUCGUCUCUCUGUUUAGCUGCCAGACGCUUCUGCUCUGAAAGACAGACAGACAGGUUGAUAAGAGAGUAAAUCAAUACUACUACUAGCUGUCAAUACAAUCAUAAAGACAAAGACUAGUUCCACUUGAAAGGAGCAACAUGUAAUAUAUCAGCCUUCAUUUCUUCAGGGUUUUGUGAAAGACACUAAGAGAAGUCCUGAAAGGCCCAGUACUGCCUCUGACCGUAUCACUGUCCAGAACACAUCUGUAGAAAGGACAUGAAGAAACGCAUUGCUAAUGUUUUU
ensembl:lncRNA